ensembl:snoRNA
AGCCUCAUUCCAGAUGAAAGUGGGCACUGUUGUUCAUGGCAUCCAGAAAUUAUUAAUGUAGCUAUAUUGAGACACAAGUUAUGCUUCCAUCACAGUAGGUUUGUUCCAGUGGUGACAGUGAAACCUGUAACAUUU